rnacentral:rRNA from 1 species
UACGUAGGAUGCAAGCGUUGUCCGGAUUUACUGGGCGUAAAGCGCGCGCAGGCGGCACUCUAAGUACGUCGUGAAAUAUCCCGGCUCAACCGGGAGGGUGCGAUGUAGACUAGGGAGCUAGAGGUCGGUAGAGGGGGGGUGGAAUUGCUGGUGUAGCGGUGAAAUGCGUAGAGAUCCGGAGGAACACCGACGGCGCAGGCAGCGUCCUGGCCGCUGCUGACACUGAGGCACGAAAGCUGGGGGAGCAAACAGG